AGUCACUCAGUCAGAGCAUUUUCCCCCAGGGCUGGCAGCAACUGAGCAAAGGGUUUUGAAAAUCACCGUUUUGGACUUAGGCAGAAUUUUGGUACUAAUUUGUGGCAUUUGGAAGUUUUCUUAACAUCAGAAGCUAUGGUGUAUCACACAACAAAAUCCAGUUAUCUUGUGUUGCAACUCAUAAAUACUGGACUCUAGAUAGGACUAUGAAAUAAUUUGGCUCUUGAAACACUGUUUUAAUGGAAAAAAAAGAUGAAGAGAUGAAACUUCUAACAUAGUGAAACCUCUCUACAUCUCUUGUUCAGCUUCCCCCUGAUUUGUUUUGGCUCUCAGCCCCACUUCAGAUGUACUCUCCUCAUGAGGAAAGAGCUGUGGAAAGGACAUUCAGAGGUCAUCUAGUCCAAGUUCUCCUCCCCACCCCACUGAGACAGGAGGGCGCAGCAUUACAGCCUGCUACCAUGAAUUUAAAUUUCUACUGGACACCCAGGACUGCAAAGAAUGCAGAGUUUCACAUCACGUGUCCCUGGUUUUGGCUUCAAGUGCAACUUGCUAUUAAUUAAAGAUUCCUGUCAUGAUCCUUAACACAGGGCAAAAAAAAUAUUUUGUCGUAUACUCAGAAGUGAACGGAUAGAAACAGUAAUAAAUAUAGAAAAUACAGAACAUUCAGAAAAAAUAUUACUCUGCUCCCCUAGAAAGGAAACAAACAUACUUCCUUCUGUACUUAUAAGGGCGCAAUAAAGAAAAAAAAUGGCAUUUUAUUUACAAAUAUUUGUGCUUUCUGAGACCAUGGGUGAUUUGUAAAGUAUACAGCUUUCAUGAUGCCUAACACAGUGACACAAGUUUUUCAAAGUACUAAUUUCUGUCAUAGAAAUAAGUCCCCAUUAUGUACAACUUAUGCUGUUUUAAGCUAAUCUCAACCAAGUAACAGACUACAUUUAGAAUUAUUGAUUACAUUUUGGAGAAAGAGAUGCAACUAAAUAUUUUGUUUCUAUAUAUAAUGAAAAGGCAGAAAAGGAGUAUUAUAUAGCCAUGGACAAUGUUGGUUAAAUGGAACAUCAGUGGUUUGGACAGAAGCUAAAUGUGAUUAAUAGACUAAGUUUUGCUUUUAGAGACAAUGACAAUCCUCUCAUCAGGAGAAUUUUAUUUUACUGUAAAUAUAAAUUAAAUAUCCAAAACAAAGAUUUUUAGAAAUUUUGGUUUUCCAAGGUGUCCAUGCAAAUGGAAAAAAAUUAAAAGUAGCAUAAUUCUGCAGUUCCCUAAUGCCCAAAUGCAAAAUUGCUACUCUGACAAUUUUUCUGCUCUAUCUACUAGCUAUAUCAGGUCAGAAACCUCAGGUUCCCUUUUUGAAAAAGGCUUUGCUUAAACUAGCAUUUGCACAUAUAUUUUGAUAUACUUUAAUCUCUAUGUCAGACUGAAAUAUUAUUACAGUUUUUAAGUCUGGGUAUGAAAUUCAAGUACAAGCAAGUAUGCUAUUUUGGAUACAAGAGCAAAAAUAUAUAAAAUCUGGGUGAACAAUUUCUUUCUACAUUUGACUGAGAGUUAAUCAGGUGCCCUUUUCCCCAUUUCAAGAAAUGUAAGCUUGUUGACAAUAGAAGAAUAUUUUCUUUGAGUACUAUACACACAAAUACUUCCUAGAUGAUUGAUCUGUAAUGAUAAUGUUAAUUAAUAUAUUUCCUACAUUUUUAAUUACAAUUUUCUUUUCCUGCACAGUCCCUAUUACUCUGUGGGCUGGUUCUGGCUGGGAUAGAGUUCAUUUUCUCAGCAGAAGGUAGUUAUGGGGCUGUGUUUGGGAUUUGUGCUGGAAACUGUUGAUUACAAAGAGAUGUUUUAGCUACUUAGCAGUUCUUACACAGAGUCAAAGAUUUUUCUGCUCUUCACAUUAUGCCACCAGCAAGGAGGGAUAAUGGAAGGGAACAAGAAGUUGGGAAGGGACACAGUCAGGACAGCUGAUGCCAAAUGACCCCAGGCAUAUUCCAAACCACAUGGCAUCAUUCUCAGUAUAUACAGCUGGGGGAAGAAGAAGGAAGAGGGAAUGUUUCGAGUGGUCACAUUUAUCUUCCCAAGUUGCUGCCACAUGUGAUGGAGCCCUGCUCUCCCUGAGAUGGCUGAACACCUGUCUGCCCAUGGAAAGUGGUGAAUGAAUUCCUUAUUUUGCUUUAUUUGUGUGGCUUUUCCUAUCCCAAUUGAACUGGUUUUGUCUCGAUCCAUGAGUUUUGUCAUUUUUGCUUUUUUGACCCUCUCCCAAUCUUACCACCUGGAAGUGAGCAAGCUUGGUGAGGGGCUUGGUUGACGGCUGGGCUUAAACCAUGACAUCCAGGGAAGUUAUUCAGAGCUACAGAAAGGUUACCUUCUCCCUUCAGGCAGAAAUACCAGGGAGGGAUAAAUUCUUUGUGUCACAGAGCUACCUCACUCCUGGUGCUUCUUUUAGGCCUGAAUAUGCACUAAUAAGAAUAUAGUGAGCACCAAAUGUGGAAUAACAGAGUAAAUAAAUACAUUUUCUACUUUCUUUUCUGAUGAAAACAUAUAGAUAUAUCAUACAUAGUAUAGCAUGUUGCAUUUUGGUGCUUUUUAAAAAGUUAUUUAAAUUUUUGUUAUUUUUUUUUUUAUCUUGAACCUGCUAAAAUAGAAGUAAAAGAAUCCUCCUAUGUAAUUUUGGUUCAUAUUAAAUAAGAAGAAAAGACAGACUUAUUUUUAACAAUCUUCUGAACAUCACCUUUAAGAGCGUUUGGCUUCUGUAUUUUAAACCCUUUUAGUUACUUUUAUGAUGGCCACUGGUGUAUGUACAUCCAGACAAAUAUGUGCUAAUAGAAGCCAUAAAUUCUUGCCUUAAUGUAGACAGGUGGCAGAGCAAACAAAAUACUGUCUUUAUUCCUGCCUGAUAAAUGCCACCAUAAUAUUGCUAUUUAUUCUCAAAGAAGAAAUUUGCUUCCUGUAUGAGUUUUCUUUUCCACUUGUGGGCCACAUCUUGCCUGUGCAAAUCGACAACAAAUUUCAUAAGGAAAAAUUAAAUGAAGAACUGAUAUUUCUCACUUAAAAAAAUUAAAUAAGCUUUAUAAGGCUCUUUUAAAAUGUCCUAUGAAGGAAUAGUUGAUAAUAUAAAUGUAUGUUUCAUUCGUAGUUUAUAGCCAUAUAAUUUCUCGCACUGAGCUGAAGGGUAAUUAAGCUGGGCUCAAGUAAAAACUUUACUAAAGGUCAGACUGUCUGGGCUGGCACUGUUUAGGUCACAAAAUUAUGGGGCCAAGUGAGAAAACAUGUAAUGUAAUGAUGAAGAAAUUUGUAUCAUACAUAUGCCUUUUUAACAUGUACACAUUAAAAAGACAUUGUUGUUUUGGGGCUGUUAGAAAGGUCAUUUGUGUUCCUCUGAAAUGCUUGUUUUACUAGAAAAAAGAUGAUCUAGUAUUAGGUCUGCCAAGUCCUAAUGUUGGAAGUGUAAGUAACUGCUUCAUUUUUUGGAGGGGGCAAUGCAGUUUUUCUUCAAACAAGUCUUGUUUGAAUUCUCCUUUUGUUCCUCCUUUUAAUUUCUUUUUGUUUUGUUUCCCUGUAGUAAUUCUACUGUUACAUAAAUUAAGUAUUUGGAUUUAAUUAUAACUUGUAUUGCUGAAAUGAGCAAGGUGUGUUUUAA